AUUGAACGCUGGCGGCAGGCCUAACACAUGCAAGUCGAACGAGUGGCGGACGUGUGUGUCAUGUCUGGGAAAUCGCUAGAAGGAGGGGGAUAACUCCGGGAAACGGGAGUUAAUACCGCAUACCAUCGGAUGUGCCCAGAUGGCAUUAGCUAGUAGGUGGGGUAACGGCUCACCAAGGCGACGAUCCCUAGUUGGUCUGAGAGGAUGACCAGCCACACUGGAACUGAGACACGGUCCAGACUCCUACGGGAGGCAGCAGUGGGGAAUAUUGCACAAUGGGCGCAAGCCUGAUGCAGCCAUGCCGCGUGUAUGAAGAAGGCCUUCGGGUUGUAAAGUACUUUCAGCGAGGAGGCGUUACUCGCAGAAGAAGCACCGGCUAACUCCGUGCCAGCAGCCGCGGUAAUAC
rnacentral:rRNA from 1 species